rnacentral:rRNA from 1 species
CCUACGGGUGGCUGCAGUUAGGAAUUUUGGGCAAUGGGCGAAAGCCUGACCCAGCAACGCCGCGUGGGUGAUGAAGGCCCUCGGGUCGUAAAGCCCUUUUCCCAGGGACGAUGGUGACGGUACCUGGGGAAUCAGCCCCGGCUAACUACGUGCCAGCAGCCGCGGUAAUACGUAGGGGGCAAGCGUUGUCCGGAUUUAUUGGGCGUAAAGCGCUCGCAGGUGGUCCGAUGCGUCGUGCGUGAAAGACCCCGGCUCAACUGGGGAGUGUCGUGCGA